rnacentral:rRNA from 1 species
UACCCGCAGCACAAGUGGUGGUCAUUAUUAUUGGGCCUAAAGCGUCCGUAGCUGGCCUGUUAGAUGCCUGGGUAAAUCGAUGCGCUCAACGCAUCGAACUCCGGGUAGACCGGCAGGCUUGGGACCGGGAGAGGCGUGAGCUACUCGAGGGGUAGGGGUAAAAGUCCUGUAAUCCUUCGGGGAGGACCAGUGGCGAAGGCGUCACGCUAGAACGGCUCCGACAGUGAGGGACGAAGCCCUGGGGCGGCAAACCCGG